GGUGAACCUGCGGAAGGAUCAUUUUCGAAACCUGCCUAGCAGAACGACCCGCGAACGAGUUAUCAACACACCCGAAGGGGGCCAGGAUGCCACCACGCUCCGAACCCCCUUCGAGUCGCGGCGAGCGUGACGGUUGCUUCGCUUUGCCCUCGAGGCAGGUGGGGUGCCCGCUCUCCUCGCCCGCGGCACACAAUAACGAACCCCCGGCGCGAAUCGCGCCAAGGAACCGUAAAGAAAAAGAGCACGUUGCUCGUCGCUGCCCCGUUCGCGGUGAGUAAGCGCGGCCUCGUGUCUCCUUUCCUAAGAAAAUCUAAAACGACUCUCGGCAACGGAUAUCUCGGCUCUCGCAUCGAUGAAGAACGUAGCGAAAUGCGAUACUUGGUGUGAAUUGCAGAAUCCCGUGAACCAUCGAGUCUUUGAACGCAAGUUGCGCCCCAAGCCAUUAGGCCGAGGGCACGCCUGCCUGGGUGUCACGCAUCGUCGCUCCCCCCAACGACCCUCACGGGUGAACGGAAGGGACGGAAAAUGGCCUCCCGUGAGCCUCCUCGCUCGCGGUUGGCCCAAAUGCGAGUCCUCGGCGACGGCAGCGCCGCGACGAUCGGUGGUAACGCCUCCUAGGCUUCCCUCGUCCCUCGUCGCAAGCGCCCUUCGUCCGUCCGGACCCCCUUCGAGACCCUGAACGCAUCGUUUCGACGAUGCUCGCAUCGCGACCCCAGGUCAGGCGGGAUUACCCGCUGAAUUUAAG
rnacentral:rRNA from 1 species